UAAGGAAUAUUGGUCAAUGGACGAAGUCUGAACCAGCCAUGCCGCGUGGAGGAUGAAGGUCCUCUGGAUUGUAAACUUCUUUUAUCUGGGACGAAAAAAGGUCUUUCUAGAUCGUCUGACGGUACCAGAUGAAUAAGCACCGGCUAACUCCGUGCCAGCAGCCGCGGUAAUACGGAGGGUGCAAGCGUUAUCCGGAUUCACUGGGUUUAAAGGGUGCGUAGGUGGGUUGGUAAGUCAGUGGUGAAAUCUUCGAGCUUAACUCGGAAACUGCCAUUGAUACUAUCAGUCUUGAAUAUUGUGGAGGUUAGCGGAAUAUGUCAUGUAGCGGUGAAAUGCUUAGAUAUGACAUAGAACACCAAUUGCGAAGGCAGCUGGCUACACAUAUAUUGACACUGAGGCACGAAAAGCGUGGGGAUCAAAACAGGAUUAGAUACCCUGGUAGUCCACGCCCUAAACUAUGGAUACUCGACAUACGCGAUACACUGUGUGUGUCUGAGCGAAAGCUUAAGUAUCCCCACCUGGGGAAGUACAUCGCAAGAUUGAAACUU
rnacentral:rRNA from 1 species